rnacentral:rRNA from 1 species
GACGAACGCUGGCGGCGUGCUUAACACAUGCAAGUCGAACGGAAAGGCCCUGCUUUUGUGGGGUGCUCGAGUGGCGAACGGGUGAGUAACACGUGAGUAAACUGCCCUUAACUUUGGGAUAACUUCAGGAAACUGGGGCUAAUACAGGAUAGGAGAUCCUGCUGCACGGGGGGGGUUGGAAAGUUUCGGCGGUUGGGGAUGGUUUGGCGGCUUAUCAGCUUGUUGGUGGGGUAGUGGCUUACCAAGGCUAUGACGGGUAGCCGGCCUGGGAGGGUGACCGGCCACAUUGGGACUGAGAUACGGCCCAGACUCCUACGGGAGGCAGCAGUGGGGAAUAUUGCACAAUGGGCGGACGCCUGAUGCAGCAACGCCGCGUGCGGGAUGACGGCCUUCGGGUUGUAAACCGCUUUCGCCUGUGACGAAGCGUGAGUGACGGUAAUGGGUAAAGAAGCACCGGCUAACUACGUG